GAUGAAGAACGCAGCGAAAUGCGAUAAGUAAUGUGAAUUGCAGAAUUCAGUGAAUCAUCGAAUCUUUGAACGCACAUUGCGCCCCCCAGUAUUCUGGCGGGCAUGCCUGUUCGAGCGUCAUUACAACCCUCAGGCCCCCGGGCCUGGCGUUGGGGAUCGGCGGAAGCCCCCUGCGGGCACAACGCCGUCCCCCAAAUACAGUGGCGGUCCCGCCGCAGCUUCCAUUGCGUAGUAGCUAACACCUCGCAACUGGAGAGCGGCGCGGCCACGCCGUAAAACACCCAACUUCUGAAUGUUGACCUCGAAUCAGGUAGGAAUACCCGCUGAACUUAAGCAUAUCAAUAAGCGGAGGA
rnacentral:misc_RNA from 1 species